GCCAAUCAGCAGCAGACGCUCCCUCCCAGACCCUCCCACCUCCUGGACAGCAUCCAUUUUGAAGCUGCAUUCUUAGUGAGCUGUCCAGGAGGUGGGAGGGUCUGGGAGGGAGGGUCUGCUGCUGAAAUGUG